GUGGGGAAUCUUAGACAAUGGGGGAAACCCUGAUCUAGCCAUGCCGCGUGAGCGAUGAAGGCCUUAGGGUUGUAAAGCUCUUUCAGCUGGGAAGAUAAUGACGGUACCAGCAGAAGAAGCUCCGGCUAACUCCGUGCCAGCAGCCGCGGUAAUACGGAGGGGGCUAGCGUUGUUCGGAAUUACUGGGCGUAAAGCGCGCGUAGGCGGACCAGAAAGUUGGAGGUGAAAUCACAGGGCUCAACCUUGGAACUGCCUUCAAAACUCCGGGUCUGGAGUUCGAGAGAGGUGAGUGGAAUUCCGAGUGUAGAGGUGAAAUUCGUAGAUAUUCGGAGGAACACCAGUGGCGAAGGCGGCUCACUGGCUCGAUACUGACGCUGAGGUGCGAAAGCGUGGGGAGCAAACAGGAUUAGAUACCCCAGUAGUCC
rnacentral:rRNA from 1 species